CACCAACAUACAAUUUUCUUGAAUGCUCUCUCUAUGUAAACACUAUGAAAAUAAUGGAAUAAAAUUCUACUUUUAAUAAAGAUGUCCAUAAUAAAAAUGCAGGCAGCUUGAAAAUAAUGCAUAGAUGUGAGCUACGAAGGCCAUUAAUGGCCUGGCGUUCAAUCAACUGUCUGUGAAAUGGUUACCAUCGAUUGAAUUUAAGACAAAUGGAGAAACUCGGGGAAAUAUAACAAAGUGUGGUACCACAUAGAGGAUCGACGGUCCAUUGAUUGAUUAACAGACCAUUCUGCUAAAUCAUCGAUUUGAUCAUAGAUAAUCCCAGUAGCCGAUGUUGGAGAGAUUCUAAUGAUGAAGCGACAAAGGGCAUCGACGGACCGUCGGUGGAUCGACUGACCUUGCUGUUGGUACGUUGAUUAAUUCAGAAAUGAUUCACUCUGAAAGAAAAAAAAUAAAUCUAAGUAUGGACUGAUGGUAGCAGUCGAUGGAUCGUUGUUCCAUCAAUGGUCCGUCUGUGGGGUUCGUCGAUUAUAGCUGCAUAUUUGGUCAAUGUUUUCUUAUUUCAAUUCCUUCUAAUUUAGGACUAUGUUUUUUAUAAAUAGGGAUUAAAACCUCAUUUUUGGGGUUAGACACUAUUAUUAUUGUUCUUGUUUUUGUUUGGAGAUUAGGGUAUUGCAAACUUUGGCAAUAAUUUAAUUUCCAAAUUUGGUUUCAAGUAGUAUUGUGAAAUUACAAGUUGAUUUGUUGGGUUUUCUUCACAUUGUAAAA